AUUGGGGGAAUUUACCCUGGCAGCAAGGGGCUGUGUGUGUUACACCUGCUGGAUGGAAGGAGAGCUUGGAGGCCAGAGGGAAAGAGAUGGAACAUGAAGGAAAGCUCGCAGCUGAGGCGCGAGGUAAUAGGGCCCGGAAAGGAAAUGGCAGUAGAGACAGCCAGAGGCGCAGAGUCCCGGAGAGAAUGCAGGCUGGGGAUCGCUUGCCUUCUGAGUCAUGGCAGAGAGCAGGUGGACAGAGGAUGUCUCUUCAAGCAGAAGGUCAAGCAGUAGAUGCACUUCAUCCAUGGAUUUUUGGGUGACACUUUCUGGAUGCUUUUCAUUAAAUAACCUUCAACUCUCUUGGCCAGAGGAGAGAAGAAGAAGGAAGAGAAAAUUCACCACACUGUUUAUUUGUGUCUGAAAAAAAGAAAA